CCUACGGGUGGCAGCAGUGGGGAAUAUUGGGCAAUGGGCGCAAGCCUGACCCAGCAACGCCGCGUGAAGGAAGAAGGCCCUCGGGUUGUAAACCUCUUUUAUCAGGGACGAAACAAAUGACGGUACCUGAUGAAUAAGCCACGGCUAACUACGUGCCAGCAGGCGCGGUAAUACGUAGGUGGCAAGCGUUAUCCGGAUUUAAUGGUUGUAAAGGGCGUGUAGGCGGGAGAGCAAGUCAGACGUUAAAUUCCAGGGGUCAACCCUGGAACUGCGUUUGAAACUGUUCGUCGUGAGCGGUGGAGAGGUAGGCGGAAUGCGGUGUGUAGCGGUGAAAUGCGUAGAUAUAGGGAGGAACACCAGUGGCGAAGGCGGCCUGCUGGACAGUAACUGACGCUGAGGCGCGAAAGCGUGGGGAGCAAACAGGAUUAGAUACCCCUGUAGUC
rnacentral:rRNA from 1 species